AUAGCAACAUGAUUUCUUCCCUCUCCAUAAGACCUCCUUCUUUCUUUCCUAUCCACGGCAGCAAGGGUUCUUCCCUCUCCAUAGCACCACCUUCUUUCUUUCCUCUCAAUAGCAGUAAGGUUUCUUCCCUCUCUACAGCAAGCAAGGAAGAGGGAACCCGAGAUAUCAAGUUCCUCCUCCCGAUUCUGUACUUUUAAGAUUCACUUCGGACUUCCUAGACCACGCGGAAGUCGCCGAUCUGACAACGGGGAAUGACGGGGAGCAAGCAGUCGGUGUCAUUUAAAUCAACAGAAUACAUUUCACGACGACGACAGCGUCGAAGACUAUUUACAUAGGCGACGAAGUCUUCGAUUGUGGCUCGCUCUACUAAACUGGGAUUCGUAGACUACUGGUGGAAGCCACUGGUUUAAAUCAAGUACCACUUGCCCACCUCUGUAAUCGCAGCAUUGCGGAUCAUGGAUCUGUAAAAAGGCUCGCUCUACUAAAUUGGUAGUUAAUUACUUUCUAGCAUUUCGAGUUUGAAAUCGUCUUCUCUAACCAAUUCGAUCCUGCAACGCCAUCAACUCGUCAACCAGGCAUAUUCUACUGUUGGUACACCAGACUAUAUUGCUCCAGAGGUUCUACUUAAGAAGGGUUAUGGAAUGGAGUGUGAUUGUGGGGUCAAAUUAUACAAUGCAUCAAGGGGUAUUUCAAAAGGACCUGGUUUUAAACAAUUGACGGGUAAUCUAAAAUAAAAAGGUGGUGUUGAAUGUGGAUAUUGUGAAAUGUGGUACAUGAAAGAGAUAGUUUUGGAUAAAUAUCCCCAAUUGGAGAUGAAGUUUGCAACAUCAAAAAACAAACAAUAUUACAAUCAAUCUCAGUAUGAUGAAGUCAGAAGUGCAUGGAGCAAAUUCGUUUACUUCUAUAUAGGUGCUUAAGUGUAGGUUGUGAUAUAAAUUUUGGAUUGUAUUUAAAGAUUUAUAGAUACAAAAACUUUUGGGUUACAGUUAAACAUGUCUUUUAUAAAUACA